rnacentral:rRNA from 1 species
UACGGAGGGUGCAAGCGUUAUCCGGAUUCACUGGGUUUAAAGGGUGCGUAGGUGGGUCUGUAAGUCAGUGGUGAAAUCUCCGAGCUUAACUCGGAAACUGCCAUUGAUACUAUAGGUCUUGAAUUAUCUGGAGGUAAGCGGAAUAUGUCAUGUAGCGGUGAAAUGCUUAGAUAUGACAUAGAACACCAAAUUGCGAAGGCAGCUUACUACACGAUCAUUGACGCUGAGGCACGAAAGCGUGGGGAGCAAACAGG